rnacentral:rRNA from 1 species
CCUACGGGAGGCAGCAGUGGGGAAUCUUGCACAAUGGGCGAAAGCCUGAUGCAGCGAAGCCGCGUGGGGGAUGAAGCUUCUCGGAGUGUAAACCCCUUUAGACCCGGACGAAUGCCCCGCCAAGGGGACUGACGGUACGGGUAUAAGAAGCCCCGGCUAACUACGUGCCAGCAGCUGCGGUAAGGACGUGGGGGGCCAGCGUUGUUCGGAAUUACUGGGUGUAAAGGGUUCGUANGCGGUGCGGCAAGUUGGGAGUGAAAUCUCUGGGCUAAACCCAGAGGCUGCUUCCAAAACUGCUGUGCUUGAGUGUGGGAGAGGCGAGUGGAAUUGCAGGUGUAGCGGUGAAAUGCGUAGAUAUCUGCAGGAACACCCGUGGCGAAAGCGGAGCGCUGGACCACAACUGACGCUGAGGAACGAAAGCUAGGGGAGCAAACAGGAUUAGAUACCCUGGUAGUCCUAGCCCUAAACGAUCAGGACUUGGGGUGCCGCCNGUUCGGGCGUCGUCCCGGAGCUAACGCGUUAAGUCNUGCACCUGGGGAGUACGGUCGCAAGACUGAAACUC